UACGUAGGGGGCAAGCGUUGUCCGGAAUUAUUGGGCGUAAAGAGCGUGUAGGCGGUUCGGUAAGUCGGCUGUGAAAGUCCAGGGCUCAACCCUCGAAUGCCGGUGGAUACUGUCGGGCUAGAGUGCGGAAGAGGCGAGUGGAAUUCCUGGUGUAGGCGGUGAAAUGCGCAGAUAUCAGGAGGAACACCAAUUGCGAAGGCAGCUCGCUGGGACGUUACUGACGCUGAGACGCGAAAGCGUGGGGAGC
rnacentral:rRNA from 1 species